AGUCGCACGAGAACACCUCAGCUUGCUGGGGUAAGUAAAGUGGCGCACGGGUGAGUAACGCGUGGGUAAUCUGCCCCUGAAUCUGGGAUAACGCUGCGAAAGCGGUGCUAAUACCGGAUGACAUCGAAUUGACUUCGGUUGAUUGGAUCACAGGUAGCCACUCCAUGGAAGCUACUGUUUGGGGAUGAGCCCGCGUACCAUUAGCUUGUUGGUAGGGUAACGGCCUACCAAGGCGACGAUGGUUAGCUGGUCUGAGAGGAUGAUCAGCCACACUGGAACUGGAACACGGUCCAGACUCCUACGGGAGGCAGCAGUGAGGAAUUUUGCGCAAUGAGGGAAACCUUGACGCAGCAACGCCGCGUGAGUGAUGAAGGCUUUCGGGUCGUAAAGCUCUGUCAAGUGGGAAGAAAUCCCGGGAAGUGAACAGUUUUUCGGGUUGACGGUACCACUGAAGGAAGCACCGGCUAACUCCGUGCCAGCAGCCGCGGUAAUACGGAGGGUGCGAGCGUUAUUCGGAAUUACUGGGCGUAAAGGGCGCGCAGGCGGUCAUGUAAGUCAGAUGUGAAAGCCCGGGGCUUAACCCUGGAAGUGCAUUUGAAACUGUGUGACUUGAGUAUGGGAGAGGGAAGCGG
rnacentral:rRNA from 1 species